rnacentral:rRNA from 1 species
UACGAAGGGGGCUAGCGUUGUUCGGAAUUACUGGGCGUAAAGCGCACGUAGGCGGAUAUUUAAGUCAGGGGUGAAAUCCCAGAGCUCAACUCUGGAACUGCCUUUGAUACUGGGUAUCUUGAGUAUGGAAGAGGUUAGUGGAAUUGCGAGUGUAGAGGUGAAAUUGUAGAUAUUCGCAGGAACACCAGUGGCGAAGGCGGCUAACUGGUCCAUAACUGAC